rnacentral:lncRNA from 1 species
GUGACGUCAGCAGGGUUGCCAAGUUCACAGUUUUAGUGCGGAAUUUGUCUACUUUGUUUUAAACUCUUGCAGCAGGUUGAUUUUCUCCUCGCGGGUUAAUUUUACAUAGUGCAUAAAUUGUAUUUGACUGAAUAUUCUACCAAUGAUAAACCUAAGCGAGAUGUUACAUUUUGUGAAGAGGGACCUUUGAGUUGUGUUUAUGAUCGCUAUGAGACCUUGGUUUUCAGUUUGCAUGAAACAAUGACUGUAAAAUAUGUAAUUUAGGAAUAGGAAUUGCACAAUUUGAGGUUUUAUAUUUGGUAUAUUGCGACUGGGCUACUUUUGGUCUAGGAUUUUCCCAUUGGACCAUUUUGUUUCCGCAGACCUGGCAACCCAGAGAGGGAGCGCCCACAGACAGUAGACAGUCCUGCUCGAGACAUUUUCUUUUUCUCUGAAAUACUUCAAGUUCAAAUAUCAGGACGUCACGACUUCGACUGAUGGAAGUUAUGUAUUUAAGAAACUGAGUCUGUGAACAUAUAACGACAUUCAGAAUCACAAUCAUGAAUGCUGUAAAUACUGUGCAGCUGUUCAUUCUGGUUUGGACCUUUACUGCUGUCUGUCAAGCUGAUGAUGAUAUCAGUGUAAGCUGUGAUGAUGUGACUGGAUCUGUGGGGAAAGAAAUGAAUCUCACCUGCAGCGUCUCUCUGAAGAUCACUGAAUGCUGCAUUAUAAUGUAUAAGUUUCAAUACCCUGAGAUCUAUGAUGGCUCUGCAAUUUGUCGUCAAGAUGUUUCUGUGAACCCCUGUAAACGGAGAAACAGUUUCACAUGCCUCUUCACUCCAACUACAGCAAUGACAAAACAAUUCAGAUUCUUUGUGCAAACAAACUGUGGAGUGAAAAAAGAAGACAUUCUUACUAUUGAAGCAUCAGGUACUGCUUACUAUAAUAUCUUUGCUUAUAAUCUACUAAAUCUUUCCAAAUAUACGUUUAUGUCAAAUCUACUAACAGUGGUUUAAAACCUCUUAACAAAGACCAUUAAAGGGUUAUUUCACAAAAAAAUAAAAAUGAUGUCAUUAAUGACUCUGAAUGACCCUCAUGUCAUUCCAAUCUAGGGCUGUGCAAUUAAUCGAAAUUGUAAUAAAAUUUCUAAAUUCAGUUUAUAGCAUGAUUUUCUGCGGCCACGACCUCCUGCAGUAUGCUAUCCGAAACAAUCAAAAUGCAGCGCGCCUAUGUGGGAGCGCGAGAACAGAACAGACUGGGGAUAUGCCUAACUCUAGGUUCACAAACUCUGUCUGUGAUGCGUAGCCUUUUUUUCGAGCCCUUCAAACCUUGAGCAAAAAAUAUAACACCUGAGGCAAUGCUACAGUUGAUAAACAACGCUAUGUCUUGACAUUUUGUUUGCUUUACUUAGUGAUUAUUUUAACUUCUGUCUGUCCUAGAGACAUGUUACAACUUUUUAAUAAAGCUGCCAUCG